rnacentral:lncRNA from 1 species
CGAUAAAAACCACUACCAAUAUCAUUAAGUCAGCUUGAGUUUGCUUUGUAGGACAAGUGGAAUAAAAUUCAACAUUAAACGCCCAGGAUGAUCAAUUCCACGGUGCUGUGGAUAUUGCACUGCACCACGGAGUUGUAAAUUUUGUGUUAGGACUUUGAGUUGAUGAUUUGACAUUGGAUAUUUCGUUUACUUUAUGCGCACA